rnacentral:lncRNA from 1 species
GGAUGGGUCACAGCCUGGGCAAAGACAAGGAAACUAAAUAGUCACCUGCACCCCUACUCCACCCCAGUUUCCCUGGCCCAGGAAUUCUACCUGAGCGUGAUAACAGAGCUAGGCAGGAAACCAAGCCUCCGAAGAGGAGGGGUGGAUUAACCCUAAUGGGUGUGAAGAGGUUCCAGGAGAAAUCCAGUCCUGGCCCAAACUCAAGAAUGUCUCAUCACAGCCCUAUGGAAGACGGCCAGCUGGAAACCUCGGGCCCUUGGGUGAUCCUGGCAACUGGAAGCCAAGCACAAAUUUCAUAUAUUACAAGCCCUGGAGACUGUUAUCACCUCAGGCCCUUUCCUCAGUGCACAUUGGCUCCAAACCUUCACCAGAUUGGCCCUGAAGCACGUGAUUCAGGUUACGAGCACCAGGGCCACCCCAAAUGCCCCCAGGCUGCAUUGACAAGGCUGGUGCAAGUAUGGGCUGGUGAGAGCUUCAGUGCCCUCAUCUCCACAGGAGAUAUAGCUGGGGAAGAGGAAGUGGAAGAGGAGGAAGAGGAGGACAAGGAGGAGGCAGAGGAGGAGGAAGAAGAAGAAGAUGAGGAGGAAGAAAGAGGAGGAGAAGGAGAAAGAGGAAGAGGCGGUGGAGGAGGAAGAGGAAAUACAUGUGCAGGGGCAGUUCCCACCUCCACGCCUGCAGCAUCCAUCCCCCUAUCUUCUAGUGAUCCCAUCUCAUGGCUCUCUCUGGGCCUGCUCCUCACUGGACAUUGCUCUGCUGGCCUCCCUAGGCCUGUUGGCCUGCCUGAGCCUUUUGGGCUUUGCUAGCCUCCCCAGGCUUCACUGAUAUUACUUUAUUAGUCUCAGCAUCUCUGCUGGACAUUGCUCCCUACUACCCUCUUCUGGGCUCAUCUCUUCAGGGCCAGCAAAAUCAUAUCAACUUUAGGUCAAGCUGACAGAUCCUGCCUAUACCCAGUUAACAAAAGUUAGCUAGAGCUCCCCCAGGAUAAGAUUAGGUCUUUCCUUUUUGACCCUUCCAUCUCCCUAAAUAUCAAAUCUUUAUAUUACAAAUAAAUUAUAUAACUCAGUGUUCCA